UCCGAGUUGACCCCGGCAGUCUCCUGUGAGUCCCCACCAUCCCCGAAGGGACGUGCUGGCAACACAGAACAAGGGUUGCGCUCGUUGCGGGACUUAACCCAACAUCUCACGACACGAACUGACGACAGCCAUGCACCACCUGUGAUGGUGUCCCGGAGGAAAGCCGUAUCUCUACGGCGGUCACCAACAUGUCAAGCCCAGGUAAGGUUCUUCGCGUUGCGUCGAAUUAAACCACAUGCUCCGCUGCUUGUGCGGGCCCCCGUCAAUUCCUUUGAGUUUCAGCCUUGCGGCCGUACUCCCCAGGCGGGGCACUUCAUGCGUUAGCGCCGGCACCCAGGGGGUCGCUCCCCCAAGCACCUAGUGCCCAUCGUUUACGGCGUGGACUAC
rnacentral:misc_RNA from 1 species